rnacentral:tmRNA from 1 species
GGGGCUGACCGGUUUUGACAGCAAGAUGAAGGGGUCUGUAAGCAUGCCGAGCUAUCCGAUUGAUGCUCGUUAAUUCAACGUCGGAAUCUAUAAUUGGCGAGUACAACUACGCUCUUGCCGCUUAAUCUUCCAAUAGGAGACUAAGCUAAUUCCGCACUAGGUGCGGAAGCGGGACAUCCCUCAAGAUCCACGUCCUGCGGAGAUUGAUCAAGGGGUGCUGGAAAUGCGGGAAUAGGAAGGUUUUUGCUGCGCGAAUCUUCUGAAAUUUAGUAGAUAAGCUGAAGGUGGGGUGUUUGUCCUCAGCCUUUGGAUGAAAACCAAUGACAAAAUAAGCAUGUAGAAAGCUUGUCGUUUCCUUGUCUGGACGUGGGUUCGAUUCCCACCAGCUCCACUU